CCUUAAUGAAUGGGUUGGCGAGUGUGUCUGAAAAUAUUUUAUAGUAUUUGGCUGUGUAGCCAUCUGGGUCCGGACUUUUUCCAAGAGAGGAUUGCUUGGUUGCUAAUAAGAAUUUGUCUGGUGUUAUUGGUGAUUCUAAAUGUUGUAAUAGGUUUUGGGGUAUUGUUUGUUUUAUUCAGGGGGUUAAGUAGUGUUCUAGUUCUAGAGCUGUUGGAGUGGAA